rnacentral:lncRNA from 1 species
GUACCUGUUGACCUCAUCUGGGCUGCAGUUGGUGACUGCUCGAAGGGGUGGGAGGAACAGUAUAAAGUCCUGUCCCCUUCCUGCCUUCAAGGGCACCCCUGAAGGACCAUAUCCACUGUGGACCCCCUUGGGAUCAGCCGAGGUCUGUAGAGGUGACAUUGCAGCCCAGCACCUCCCUCCUCCGCCCUGCCCUCCUCUGUCCUCCUUCCACAGGUGUGGCCAAGGGCACUGCCCAGUUGGCCUGUGACCCCCAGCUGAGGCUGCUUCCUGGGCAGCUGACUUCAAGUUUGUGACCUGAGCUCUCCAGGCCCCCGAGCGGCUGGUGCCUUGGCCCUGCAGUUCUGCGGCCAAGACUCCUCCUCUGGGAUCUCGUCUUACCCUGCUGCGGGUGCCAGGGCUGCAUGAAGCAAGGGCGAAAGUCCCCUUCGCCCGGGCGCUGCCCUCUGCCUGCUGUCCCCUGUGCUCCUGUUCCCCGUGGCUGCCCAGGGACAGGUGUGUGGGAUGGAGGACGCGGGAGAGGCUGAGUCCUCCCCAGUGGACCCCCAGAUGCAGACCCUGAGGCAAGGGAGAGUGAGAAAGUGAAGGAAAGAACACAGCUGGAAAUGCAACCAAGAAGGAACCCCAGCCCGGACCACUCUUUUCACACUCUCUGUUGCCCUUGUCCUUGGGCAUCUCAGUGACUCGAAGGAAUUGGGUCUUGAGACACAGCCGAGCCUGUGAGCGCUGACCUGUGUAAAGAAGACACCAGAAUGAGAUGUCUCCACACACAGAGAGCUGCAGCCGAUGCCGGCCGGUGACUUGGGACUUGGAUGCUUAACAGGAGGCUCCCCCUCUCUUGGGAGGUAGAGAGCAGUGAGGAAGGGGACUCAGCCUCCAUGCCUCCCGCCAGCCCAGCUGCGCCCGAAUCACCUCCCUCCUGAAAGGAUGUCAGCCUCUGCUUGGACACCGUGGAGACAGGGCCCUCCUUGUGCUUCAGAAGCAUCAACGUGUCAGAAAAUCAUCUUCACGCCAAGUCUGGAAAAAAUGGCUUUGAGGUUGUGCACACAAAGGAAGGAGGGAGAGCCCCAGGUGUCGCGGAGGACCAUGCGGCUGACAGAGCCAGCAGGGCGGUGGCGUGUGAGCCGUGCUCUGGAUAUAUAAGGAUCUGACGCUGCUGGCAAUGUCUGAGCUCUAUGCUCGCCCAUCUGUCGGCUGCUAUCAUCACCGGGUGGGAUUAGCGGAGAUCCACUCUUUCAUAUUUAAAUCUUCACAAGAGAAUGAAUCACUUUUAUAAUAAAAGAAAAAGACCGUCCAUGUUGUUAAUGUGCACACAGCAAGUUGGAAGGCCGGGGAGGGCAGCGGGUGGGGACGCUGACCCAGGCGCCCCCCUGCUGCCUGGAACAGCCCCAGGCCUGCUCCACUGUCCCCUCGGGGUUCCCUGUCGAAGAGGCCAAAGAGUGGAGGGGCUGGUGCCUAGAGGGUGUGGAGCUGCAGGUGCACAGUACAGCUGGCACCUGGCAGAGGUGGUUCAUUAUCAAGCAAAGGAUGAACAAGGCACUUGGAGCCCCUUCACAACUGGAACCUCCACUGCAGGCACAAGGCUGGGCUGGACUGGGGUCUCCUCCUCUCCAUGACAGCCUUGGGCAACCUGGAGCCCGCCACUGCCCCUCCCCAGGUGCUGUCCCCUUGAAGCUUCUCCCAACGGUUUAGUAUUGUAGAGUUGGCACAUCUCACGUGAACAAGAACAGCCAUCACUGAAACGAAUGCUCAGAGCGGACCGGCGUUUUUUCCCAGCCACCCUGGGGUGAGCAUGGCUCACGUUGCACACCAGGAAGCCCAGGAGCGGGGAAUUGAACCAGUUCCAUCCAGUCCCUGGCAAGGGACCACCCUGUGUCCGAAGGCCACGUUCAUUUUUCAGAUUGCAGGAAAUGGCUCAGCCUGAAGUUCAAGUUUUCCUCUGAGCUCCUGUUGAUUAAUGUGGCAAAGAGAGCAUGCUGUGGAAUAUGCUGGCAGAAAUGUCAGGAUUGCUAAAGCGUUUCACUGCAAAUGCUCAGGCUGGUGGGGAGGUGCCUUGGCACAAUUCUGCAGAGGGUAUUUGGCAAUAGCAACAAAAUCACAAAGGCACAAACCCUGUGACCCAGAAACACCAAUUUCACGGUAGGAGCUGCUGCCGCAGGGGUUUGCCCAGAGCACAGGGAAAGAUGUGCUCACUGUACUCGCUGGGACAAGCAAGAGAUUGGAAAGAGCUCAGUGUCGUCAUUCAGGGUGUCUCCUGUGUCUCCUGAUCGCUAUAAGGGGUUCCAGGCUGGUCCCCGGGGGAGGAGCUCCUGAUCAGACGCAGGCCCUGCCCCCUCCCCAGCACAGAGCUGGUGAAGGAAGUGGACAUUCAUUCAUUCAGGAUGUUCUGAGUAUUUCAGCACCACCAGGCCCUGGGAAAUCAAGGUCUCAGCAGAUGACGGUGGCAGUUUGAUUUUUGGCUGAAUUGUCCUCUACAGCAGUCACUGGGGGUUGCGUUUUUCUCACACUGCCCAGUCAUGCAGCACACGGAAGCCAUCCAUAUGCCAUGGGAAAAUGCUUUGUCUCCUGCCUGGGCGCCCCCCGAGCCAGUGAGUACAGUCCUGCCUAGUGGCAAGGUGAGUGUCCUGUUCCCAAGUCAUGAAAAUGCUCUUCACUGGGGCGGGUCUGCCGAGUUGGGAAGGGCACUUACGGUUUAAACCGAGAGACUCUCCCUGCAUUUGAAAUGAGGACAUAGAGUUCUUUUUCUCUUUUCUUUUCUUUUGUUUUUUUGAGACGGAGUCUUGCUCUGUCGCCCAGGCUGGAGUGCAGUGGUGUGGGGUGAUGGGGCAAAUGGGGCAGGGCGGCCAGGUGGGGCCAGGCGGGCAUCUCCCGAGGAUGAUCCUGGAGGUCAGCUGCCCGGUGUGGGUGGCCAUGACCUUGGUAGCCUGUGACCUUGGUGGCUGUGAGCUUGGACGAGAACAUUUUCUUCUGCCAGUGCAAUGCCUAGAGAGGCAGGCCACUGAGGGCUGGGGCAGUGAACCCCGGGGACAUCGCGUUGGGGAGUCCUGCCGUGAUAGAGGGCCCCUGGGCACCACAGUGCAGCGUGUACUCCACCGUGGCUGCUGGAUGGCCACCCAUGGGCAGUGGAGCUGGGGCAGGGAUGGCAUUCCAGGUCUACAAAGUAGGGAGAGUGACGGCCCAAAGGAGCGAGGGUCCAGGCGAGCCGCACACGGAGGAGCGAGGGUCCGGGCAGGCCGCACAUGGGUCGGAGGCUGCAGAGCCCAUGCUGACGGCGCACACCAUGGGCUCGGCCUGCUGUCCCUAGAAAGUGUGGGGCAGAAAGAACGGAUGCACCUGUGUGCUCCUUGCUGGAAGUGGCAGGGGGCUCUUCCCAUGCUGGAUCUCCGGACACUCCCCUUGGCGCUCUGCCUGGUGGUCCGCCGCUGCACACGGGACACGGCAGGCUCCGUCCCCUCGGCGGCCACUCUGUCCCCUUUUAAGGCAUGUCAGAAACAAAGCCCUGGACGGCUGUGGCUGGGUUGGGCGUUCGCCCCAGUCCCUUUAAGCCCUCUGGGAAGGGUGGGAAGUUUCCAAAACUUCCCGUUAUCCACACCAAGCUCCUUGACCAGAGUCCAGUAAUGGGACGCUGGCAGUGCCCGGAUGCCCCGAUACAGGCAGGAGAGGCACCGUACUGGGUUCAUCCAAGGCCAGCUUAGGUCCUGGGAGCUAGGACGACCAGAGAGGAGAAAGGCAAGGCAGGGACAUGGCACUGAGACAGAAGAGACCACCCCCAGAACAGAGACCCCCGAGAGGGCAGAGACCCCGAGACAGCAGAGACCCCCAGAGGGCAGCAAUCCCAAGAGAGCAGAGACCCGGAGAGGGCAGAGACCCCAGGAGGGCAGAGACUCCUCAGAGGGCAGAGAACUCUGAGGCCAGUGACCCCCAAAAGAGCAGAGACCCCGUGAGAGGCCAGAGACCCCAGAGAGGUCAGGGGCCCCCGAGAGAGAGGGCAGAGACCCCGUUCCUUGUUUUUCCUUGUUUGCCACCUUCAAUGUCAUUCUUGCCCUCCCUCCCCCGCCGAGUGGGGGACUGUGGUGGCCUUAGCUACCCUCACGUGGCUUUAGGACCCUCAGAGCAUAACUAAGCCCCCGAAGGCUCUGGUCUUCCAACAACAUGAUCUUUAGGAGGGCAAAGCUCCUGCGGCUCCUGUGGGCUGGCAUUGUGACUGCCCUGGGAGGUGGCAGGUGUGACUCGCUGUCCCUGGGGAGGCGGGACCCCCCUGGGCACCUCUGCAGGUGCGAAUCGGGGGUGGUCUUUCUCUGCGUGGCUGCAUGGGGUGAGAGCCUCUGUCCCAGGGCAGGUGUGGGGACAGGCCCUGGUGGAGCGUGCGGGCCGGCUGGAGCUGGGGUGCCCGGAACUGUGGUUUGUGCAGGCCCAGGAGCCUCUGUCCUCGUGUGAUCUUUGUGCACUCAGGACUUCGAGUCACACCUGGAUUUGGUGAAGGGCUCCGGUUUUAGUUCCAGCUCUGGUAGCCACACCUCUGGGAUCACGGGCAGGUCACACUCCCUUUCCCAGCCUGUUUCCCCAUCUGUACGACGUGCAUCCUCCUGUCGCGAGGAUGUGUAGGUGCAAGAGACGUCCACCUCACCUGGCCCUGUCUGCAGGCAUGAGGCUCUGUGAGGCGGGGCCCUCCCUGGGGACUCUGUGGGGAUGAGGCCCUCACCUGGGGACUCUGUGAGGGGGGACCCUCCCUGGGGACUGUGUGAGGAUGGGGAUGAGGCCCUCACCUGGGGGCUCUGUGGGGCUGUGCUGUCAGCUGGGUGAGGGGAGUCCUGGCCAUGGUAACAACAGGUCCAGGAGCUUGCCCCUUUGCCCAGAACAUUCCUCCCAUCUGCCCCCUCCAGGCCUCAGCUUCCACGCCUUUCCCUCCAGGGGACCUCCUCUUCCUUUCCUAGUUCCCCCACCUCCCUCCAUAUUCACCCGUGCGCAUGCCGGUGAGCGGGCGUCCAGGCUGGAGUGCCAGCGUCUGGGUCUGGGUCCCGGUCCUCAGGCUGGAGUGCCGGCAUUUGGGUCCCAGUCCUCAGGCUGGAGUGCCGGUGUCUGGAUCCCGGUCCUCAGGCUGGCGUGCCAGUGCCUGGGUCCCGGUCCUCAUGCUCCCUACACCAUGGCUGUCUCCUGAUGUUUUUGGCUGACUCUCCCUGGAAGCAGAAUGAGGCCAGGGUUGAUGUGGAAGCUGUUCAUUUCUUUGGGAGGUGACCCAGGAAGACAGGGAGUAGGGAAGGGGAUGCACCUGUAAGGGCUGAUGGCUUAGUGCCCCUGCUGAGCACCCUCCAGUGACUCCCCUGGAGCGGGGAGGAGGCUGAGUAUUUAUCCAACUCCUGCCUGUGGGGGUAACAAACGAGGCCGCUCUGGGGGUGCGACUGCCUGAUAGCCGGCCUGCCCCAGCCCAGGCAGAGAGCCCUGGGCAGAGCCCCCUAUUGCCGCCAGUGUCCUUUCCUAGCGGUCAUUCUCACUGCUGUACUUGCAGCGUGGUGGCCCAGUCACAGGCCCUCCCUACCCCCAGGGUUCUGCCCCAUCCUGACAGGGCUGGCCAAGAGCCUGGCACUGGGGCCCGAGAUGAGACCUCAGUGCCACAUAGUGACUGGGGUGGGGGACCGACCAGAGUGGGUGGGAGGCAGGUGCUUUCUGAAGUGUGCCUGGCCUAGCCUUUGUCCAGCGAGCUCUAGACACAGCUGCUGACCCUGAGGGCUCCGGCACCUGCCCUUUUGCCCAGCUGCAGACUGGCUCUCGGUGGCCAUGGGCCUUGAACCAGGUCAGAUGAUGGGGGUUGAGCUGACAGGGCCUUGCUCCAGGCCCUGGGUAAUUGGCUGGGGUCUGGGCCUGGCUGGGGGUGUCCCCAGUGGCUCUGCUAGUCACCUGGUUAGUUGGCCUGGCAGGAUGAGAAGCGGCUGGUCUCACAGACCCAAGGAACGAGCCCUUCCUGGUGAGAUGGGAGGCCCUAUGCAGGCUGAAUGUGCCCGGGUGUGAGCACUUGUGUGUGUGCACUCAUGUUCACAUGCCAUGCCUGUGUGUGCGUGCAGGCAUGUGUAUAUGCAUUUGCCUGUGUGUGUGUGAGUUGAGUGUAAAUGUGUGCAUGUGGGUGCAUGUAUGUGCACAAGUGUGCCUGUGUGUACACAUGUGUGUCUGUGUGUAUAUGCAUGUGCUGGCACAUGUACAUGGGUGUGUGCCCAUGGGUUCAUGUAUGUGCACAAGUGUGCCUGUGUGUACACGUGUGUCUGUGUGUGUAUGCAUGCGCUGGCACAUGUGCAUGCUGUGUGCAUGUGCAUGGGGUGCCUGUGUAUACGUGCACGUGUGCUGGGGAGGGCCCACUCACCACGUGCUGCGGGCGCCCUGCGGGUGCCAGCCCCUCCUCGUCUGCCUUGCUCUCCUGCCCUGCCUUGGCUCCCUGCCUUCCCCUCACCGGUUCUCUCUCUGCUUGGCGUCAUUCCUUUCAUAAAUUCAGCCUGGCCAUGGUUUCCAUGGUGCUCUGAUAAAAACUGGAAUUCCAGUCAUAAUUGCAGGGAGUUGGGGAGCUGGGAGAGAGGGUGGAGGCAGGAGGGAACAUUUUCUAUACAGGAAGCUCAGGUCUCAAUGGCUGUGGCUGGUUUUUCUUCCUUCAGAGGUAUUUAGAGUGUAUAGAAUUCUCUCUCAAGAGCUCCCCUGUUGCCUCGCGAUGGCGACGGGCCGGCACUGUCCUCCUGGGUGGGCCUCCUAGCCGAUGGGCUUCUGUCUCUGUGCUGGAACAGGGCGGAGCUCGGCAGACCUGCUGGGUGGGGAGGGGCUUGACCCGGGCUCUGGCUUCAGGGGACUGGAGUUCAGGGGUGCCUGGGGCAGGCUGCCCGGCCAGUGUCCCCAGAUCUCCCGCUCCAUGACUGAGCUGGAAUUCCAUGGUUGUAUUUCCAUUCCUAUGAUGUUGUCGUCAAUGUCAGUGUUCCUCCGGUUGGGGUGCAGUGAUCUCCUAUGCCCUGGAGUGAACGGGGGUUGUGAGAAUUCCUUGCAGGGGCUGGGGCAGCAGAGCCCCACACCCUCCGUUCUGUGCCAGCCAGGGGGGUGCCGAGUCAGCCAGGUCCCGAGGAGCACUGAGCAGAUGAAUGAAUGAAUGGAUGGAUGGAUGGAUGGAUGGAUGGGAAGGUAUAGGGAGGUGGCUCUCCCACCCCAGGGCGCAUCUGACUCUCCUGGAUAAGUCGUUAACAUGCAGAUUCCCAGGCCACCCUACCUUCUGAUCGCCUGGGGCUCAGCUGGGGCCUGGGAAACUGGUCUGGAACAGGCUCCCUGGUGGUUCUGACGUGAGCCCGCCCAUCUGCCUGCCCAGGAGACACAGGGAACAGGGGCAGCAGGAGCACUGGAGGCCUGUGGUUGGGAAAGGGGCUUUCUUCUUUGUCCCCCAGAGGACAGCGUUUGGCUGUCAACAAGGCCCUGCCUCUGCCCUAGUGGCUUGGGGCUGGGCAGGGGGGUUUGGGGGACCCCUCUGCUAUGUGAGAUGGAGGCAGAGGCAGGGAGGUGGGAAGGGGGAUGAGGCAGGGACACACCCGGCGCAGAAGGCACUUCUGUGGGGCUGUCAGCCCUCAGGGGGGUCCUGCCAUGGGGGUGUCUUCUCGUCCUCCUGUGGGGGUGUCCUCCCGUGGGGAUGGGAGGGAGGGCCUCAUCAGCUCAGAAGCAGAUGGUGGCUGGGUUCUUCCUUCCUUCCUUCCUUCCUUCCUUCCUUCCUUCCUUCCUUCCUUCCUUCAACCUUCUUUCUUUCUUUCUUUCUUUCUUUCUUUCUUUCUUUCUUUCUUUCUUUCUUUCUUUCUUCUUUCUCUCUCUCUCUCUUUCUUUCUUUCUUUCUUUCUUUUCUUUUUCUUUCUUUCUCUUUCUCCUUCCUUCCUUCCUUCCCUCCCUCCCUCUCUUUUUCUCUUUCUCUCUCUCUUUCUCCUUCCUUCCUUCUCUCUCUCUCUCUUUUCUUCUUUUCUUUCUUCUUUCUUCUCUUUCUUUCUUUCUCUUUCUUCUUUUCUUUCUUUCUUCUCUAUCUCUCUUUCUCUCUGUCUUUGACAUGGAGUUCUUGCUCUUGUCACCCAGGCUAGAGGGCAGUGGUGCAACCUCAGCUCACUGCAGCCUACGCCUCCUGGGUUCAAGUGAUUCUCCUGCCUCAGCCUCCCAAGUAGCUGGGAUUACAGGUGCCCACCACCACGCUCAGCUAUUUUGUAUUUUUAGUAGAGACGGGGUUUCACCAUGUUGGCCAGGCUGGUCUCAAACUCCUGACCUCAAGUGAUCCGCCCGCUUUGGCCUCCCAAAGUGCUGGGAUUACAGGCGUGAGCCACCGCGCCCAGCCUUUUUCAGUUCUUUAAACGCUGGCGUGUGUGUGGCUGUGGAUCCUACGGGGUGUUUAUGAAGGACGCUUGGUGUGUCCUUGGUCCCCACGCAUCUUACUGCUGCUCCCACCUGCCCACCCGGGAGGAGGCUGACCUUGUUGCCUCGCUGCUCCAGCUCCUUCCUCCUUGGCACAGAGCCCAGGGAUCCCUAGAGAGAGGCAGAACUGGAAAGACCACAGGGACCUCAGGCUGCUCCCGCUUGCUGGGUCUCAGUCAUGAAGAGCCGUGGGUGUGCGAAAAGCCGGGAGAAACCAAGUGGAAGCCAGUCGGGAUGGUGGUCAAUGUAACAAAGACCCCAGAGAAAGGAAAGGGCUGUGGGGCUAGGCGGUCUUCUGGGAGGGAGAGUGGGGGGCUCAGAGGGAAGCACGGAGUGGAAGGAGGAGGGCGGGCAGGAGGAGGGGCAGUGACUGUUCUCUCGGUUGUUGAUCUGGGUUUGCCUCCAUGCCAUGUGGCACCCCAUGAUUUAUUGGGGUGAUACUGAAACUCACCACCAAAUGGUACUUAUUCCUCCCGGCUUUAGGCACAGACUUUCUUACUUUAAGGAGAACUAUGUUGUCUGAAUCCAAUAAUUUUACUUUAAAAAUGUAGCCAGAGUUAAAAAAUAGCUAUUGGCUAACAGCCCGUGUGAAAAUUUGCCGUGGGGAAUGAGGGCGAGGACCUGAAUGGGUGGGUGGGGGAGGGUGCCCGUCAUCCGAGACCACCCAUGCCUUGUGUUUGCUCCUUCACCUCUGCCCUCCCAACCUGCGCCCCAGCCCUGCCCCUGAGCCUGACCAGCGUCCUGGGGUCCCCUGCAGAGCCCACCUUGCUGCGGUCACCCUUUUGGUCAACUUGCCUGGGGUGAGAGCCCGCCACAUCCACCUCUGCCUGGCUGCCCAACCAGCGUUCCUCCCUGGCAUGCUUUCCCCAUGCCCCCCAGGGGGAAGAGAGGAGCCAAAUGGUUCCCAGAGGCUGAAGCAGACCCCAGGAGGCUCUGGGUGUAGCCUGGACAGUGUCUACACAGCUCGGCGUCUGAGGCUGAGGUGGGAGAGCCUGGGCAUGCAGGGUCUCCUGCCGGGUGAGCAUCUCUGAUUUGGGGGCAAAGCAACCCGUACCCUGUCCUUCAUCCCUCUCUGAGCCCCGCAGCCUGGAGCUUCCUCCUGCCACUGCCAUCAGUGGUCCCUACCAGUCCCUGGGGCAGCAGCUUGGCUCUGCCCUCUCACUGCUCCUGGGUCUUGGUGUGCUGGAGGCUGGGUGCUUUUCUCACCUGGCAGCUCCUGGGGAGGCGUGCCCUCCCCAGGAGGGGGUCACGGUCCUUGGGAGGUGGGGUCUUCUGAAGGUCCCACAAUGGCGAGGGCAGAACCAACACCAGCUCCGUGCAGCUCUCCCCCUCCCUGGCGUCCCCAGCUGUGAAACAGGUGGAGCUCGCCUUCGGCCUGUGGGCCUGCAGGGUGGGUCACCGGGAGCACAUGAGGGCUGAUAGGACCAUGGUCUUCAAGCUUAGGGAGGCUGUGGGUCCUUGGCAGAUUACCAGAGCCUUGGCUUCCUUGGCCAGUCAAAUGGGAACAAUGACCUAAGGAUGCUGAGCCCCAGGGCGGCCGGAGGCUCCCUACACACAGCUGGGUUCAGCCAGGGCUCCUAGGUGAUGCCUGGCAGAAUCUGCGCUUAAAGUCCUGUCUCCCAAUCCUCUUCCUCCUCCUCCAGAGAUGCAGUCAGAGAGACAGCCCCCAGCUCCAGGGAGGAAGCAGGGAGAGGGAGGAGCAGGGAGAAGAGAGGAGAGGGAAGAGAGGCUCGGAGGGAGGCUCAGAGGGGAGGGAGCCUCAGACCAGGGAGAGGCUUGAAGGGGAGAGAGGCUCUAGAGUGGAGAGGAGAGCAGGGACCUGGUUGCAGGCAGUGCUAUACCCUGGGCCACCUCCAGAGUGACAGGAGCGGGUGGCACCAGGCUCCACUGUUGGUGGAGGGGGCUCAGACUAGGCCGGGGCAGAGAAGGAGCCGGGCAGCCAGGCAUGAAGCUCAUGAUUGACACCAAUUCCUUAACCUUAAACAUCACGGAGUGUCCAACUCUGGGGACGAAUCGGGGUGUGGACAGGUUCAGGCAGGGAGCCCGUGGAGGGCAGCAGUCGAGGGCCCGGGUACCGCUCUGGGCCAGGAGGGACACUGGCCUGGCCGCCAAGGCCAGAUGCCAAGGAAGGCAGCCUCCGCCUCCCUCCCAGCUCCCCUGACGCGGCCAACCUUGGUCCUGCGGGCCGGGCCCUGAGUGCUAACUUCCACCUUAUCCCACGUCCCAGCUCACAGUGGCAGAGCUGGAGUCCAGCCCAGGACCCUGUGCGUCACCACCUGUGCGCUCAUGGCUGUGCUGUGCUGCCGGGGGAAGAGCUGGCAUCCCCUCUUCACCCAGUGCUCGCCACGCAGCCUCUGGGUGCACAACACAGGCCCCCCAAGGGCUCCACAUGGUGGGUGCCCUCUCCCUGUGCCCACCUUGUGGCCACGCACAGCCGAGGGGAAGCGGGACCCCGAGGCAGCAGGCUCUCCUCGUCCCCAUCCGGCCUCCUCCUGGCUCUGGCUUCCCUCUGUCGGGGGUUUAAGGCUUCCUAGAGAGAGCAGCUGUUGGGUGAGAGGGUCUUCCCGGAGACCCUGCAGCCUCUUCUGAAUCAGGGGCCCAGGAGUCCUCACUCAAGCCAUCCCCACCUCUGAGCUGGGCAGGUGCGGCUCGGAGGGGAAGGUGGGGGACCAUGCCCUUAGGGUGGGUGGGGUUGUCCUGUGUUUCUGCUGUCCUUUGGGUUAAGGUGUGGGGAUCUUUGUUACCAGGAGAUGCUGUGGCCACUAACGCUUUAGCACAGAUAAGGACAGGCUGAGCCUGGUGGGGAUCUGGGGCAGCGCCGCUUGGGAGGGCAGGCGAAGGUGAGUGCUGGGUGCUGGGAGGGAGGGGCCUGGCAGCGUGUGCCAAGAUCCCUUUAGAUGAUCAGGGUUAUAGUUUAUCUCCCCACCCUCACCCAGACCCCUCCCAGCCCUGCUGCCACCUGGCUGCCCCCAAAGGAAGGAGUCCUGAGCCCCCAGGCACAGGAAAACAACACUUAGAGAAUCUCUAAGUGCUGCAGGGAGGUGGAGGCAGGGCCAGAGCUGCUGAGGACGGCCAAGAGGACCCCCUCAGGAAGGGGUGCUCCCUGCCAUCAGGACCCAGGAACCAUGGCAGGCUCCUGACCACGAGGGCCCCAAGGCUCCUCCCCUCUCCCCCUAGGCCCCUACUCAGCCCCUCCAUGGGCGCUCAAAUCCCUCAAGCUCUCAACCCGCCUUCUCCCUCCCCUAUUGCUCCCCUAGCACCUGCCCUUCUCCUCUCCAGCCACUCUGAGCCCCUCAUGUCCCUGGGGAGACCCCUCACUCCUGCACUCUCCCUUGCUCAGGCUCUGCCUCCCACUGGCCCACCUGCCUCCUCCUCCAGGCAGCCUUCCUGGACUGUUCAAGCCCAAGCAAAUGCUUCUUUUGCUGAGCUCCACAGGGUGAGCCCAGCACUCCUAAUCCUGAGGCCCAGGAGGCUUAUGAGAAAGACCCCAGGGCACCACCCUGCAGACUCUGCUGUCACCGGCCUCUUGUGGCUCAGGCUCAGGCAAGCCGGAGAAAAGCUUUUGGUGCCCUAAAAAGGAGCACAGCAGAGAGCCAGAGCCGCCCAACCAGGGAUGGAGAAUGACCCGGGCCUUGGCGGGGGAGAAUUGGAAACGGUGGGUCUGGGAGGUGCCUGGGAACCCUCAUUUUCAGAGCAGAAGCCCUGGGGGUGAGGGUUCAGCUGCAUCUUCUGUCUCCUCAGUAGCCUGCACGGGGCUGGGCCCAGGCCAGAGGCUCAGUACUGCACCCGGGCCUAUCUGUCCACUGCUAAGGCCUCGAUGGGGCCAUGGCCCCCUCCCCCACAACCACAGGACCCCUGGGCUGGCUAGAGGGGGCCAUGGAGAUCUGAGCUGAGCGGUCAUGGGACCCCGGGCUCCCCGCUUCACUGAGCGUCCUCUGUGUUCAGCUCACAGAUCAGGAGACUGAAGCUCAGGAGACGGUGAGGACUUUUGCCCACACAGGCCCCUCGGUGGUCACUAGGCCCUGCAGGGGGCCCACUGCUCCUUGAAGCACUAGGGAGGGUGGGUGGGCUGUGAGCAGAGGGAUCCCGGCGCCCCCCACCCGCCAGCUUCUGGGACCAGAGCCCUGUAGACUUUGGUAAGAGGCCCAGUGCAGGCUGGCUGCUGCGUCGGUGCGUGUCUGAAUGAAGGAGUGAAUGAAUGAGUGGGUGGGUGGGCACAUGCAGGCCCUCAACACUCAAGUCCACAUCGAGGCCCUUCGGCCACCUUUAUUGAGAGAUACACGGGGUUUGUUUUCACCACCUGCAGAUGGUGGGAGUGGGGGUGGGCGUUUGAGCUGUGAGGGCUGUGCCGUCACCAGGGGCCGGCUCAGGGGCUCCGGACUCCAUGACCGACGCACUCAUGGCACGCAGGGCCAGCUUCCGGGGCCACAUCAUGACCUGGCCGCAAGCUAGUGAUACGAGAUCAGGUGUCGUGGGUGUGUCUGUGGUGCGUGGACACGUGUCCCUACCUACGGUAAGUGCACAGAUAGGAGCAUCAAGACAUCAACGGGAAAAGCCGACUUCAGUCACAGCCACAGACCCCGCCCCAGAGACCCCACGUCUACCGAGGGUCUAGGGCAGUGGGGCAUCCACUCUGCCCUCUCUCAGAGCACCAUCCUGAGAGACACCAUUCUGUCUGUUCCGGGGUGGAUCCUCCAGGACAGUCUCAUCCAGCUGAGAGGGCGGAACGACCACAUCUGUUCCUUAGAUGGGGAAACCGAGGCUCAGAAAUUAUGGCCCAAGGUCCAGGAGCCCCAGAGAAGGGUCUGAGGCUGCCCUGUCUGGCUCUGAGUCCAGGUCCUCGUUCAGAGCCCAGCCUGAGGGGCCUUAGCAUUUGCUAGACUCUGAGCCCACUCCUGAGCAGGGGUAGGGGCUGCACUGACCUCUGGACAUCCCUGGCUGGCAGCAAAGCUCUUCCGCCCAGAGCAGACUAUGUCAUGGGGGCUCUGUGGGGGAGGAAGGCCCCUCUGUGCUGGCCCUGUUUCCCUGGGGUUGGUGGCCCUUGGGCACUGGGAGGGCUGCCUGGCUGAUGACCAGGCUUGUGGGGGCAAAGUUUGGCAGGAAGUGCAGCGAAUAGGCCUGACUCCCCUGGGCCCUGUUCUUGGUGAGCCGAAGGGUCCUGUGGUUGGAGAGGGAUUUUGUGGGGUUCAAGGAACCCGUCAACUCAACAGCCAGAUCCAAGCGACUGCAGAUACUGUAGCAUUCGACUCUCAUUUCUCAGACGGGGAAACUGAGUCCAGAGAAGGCAAAGUGGCUGAACACAGCCCAAGACCAGGUGUCCGGGUCCUGGGUCGACAUGGCCGGUGCAGGCAGCCAGCCCAGAGCCCAUUUCCCUGGGGCAAAGGCUGCUCUGAGACAGGGAAAUCCCUUGAAGAAAAGGCUGACUUUUGCUUCCUGUGGCUCCCAGCUCCUGGCUGGUCCCGGCCAGCUUCUCCUGGGACUGUCUUCUCUUAGGCUUAGGCGACCUUCUUAAGCCAGGGGCCUGGCUAGUCAUGUGCUCUGUGGAGCCUGGAUCCUAGAGACCAAGGAGGCGCCAGCUUUUUCAACUGCUUGGAGGCCGGGGCCAGGGCUGCCGCCGCCAGAAGGUGACAAAUGAGUCUGUGCCUCAGCCCAGGGCUGCCGGCCAGCGGUGCCUGGACACACCGCUCCUUCUCACCUGAAGCCUGAGUUCCUGGGACCUGGCAUCUUACUCAGAGACCAGGCACCAUCGCCCCUGUCCCACAUUCCCCUUCUCAAGGCCCCACCCUGAAGCCAGCUCUGGGCCUGGCUCCAGACCUCAGCCUGCACAGCCACAAGCAAAGCACACGGAAUGCGCACCCCAUCCUGGCCACGGCCACUCGGGCAGGUGCUGGAGACCAGGCCCCUGAUCCGGCGUCCCUUCUGCCGAGCCCGAGAGGCCACAGCUGAAGAUCUUGAGGCUGAGGCCUGAGCCCCCUCCCAUGUGGUGUCCUGGCAGAGCCCCUGGGCCUUGGCCUGGGUGAGGAUGGGAGGGAGGAGGGGAGGCUGGGGUCUGGGCCAUUCCAGGCCAGCCCAUUUUUGUCCUUUUUGGGCUUGUGGUCCCCUCUGGGGGCUGCAGCUGCCUGCGGCGAGGGUGGUGGGAGGGACUCCCCACGGCGAUGGGCCCCCAGCUUGCCAGGCCUGAAGGGGCGAGUCAGGGAGCUUUCUUGGAGCUGCCUGGGGGAGGGGGGCAUGGGUCUGCAUGGCAGGGUCUGCACGUGAGGCCCAAAGCCACGGAGCCUGCGGGACUGGGGCUGGACUCCCCGAGCUAGACAGAGGGGGUGCAGGCCUCAGAGAUGUGGACAUGGGAACAGCAGCCGGGCCGCCGGAGGCCCGGCCCCACCCAGCACCUUUCAUUUCCUUCUCUGGAACCAUCCAUUAGUCUGAGAACAAAGAAAACUGCCUUUUGCCGCACACUAAUUUCUCCUUGUUAGAGGCCCUUUUCCUAUCUGGGAGAGGAGCGCUCUCUUGUUCUGGCUUUCAAAGAGGAGAUGGGGGAGGGGUGGGGAGGAGUUGGGGACAGGCCCGGGAGACACUAAUGAGAAACAUGGGUUAGGGGGUGGGAGGGGGGGGUCCCAGGCCUCAGACUCCAGUGCAGGCUGGCCUCUGCCUGACCCCCAUCAAGGCUCCCGGGUGGGGGCUGCUCUGUCUGUCGGGGGCAAGGACCCAUGGCCAGGCUCCUCCUGGACACGUUCCGGGGCGCACAGCCUAGUACAGCGUCUCGCGGGUGGCAUUGCUGGAGAGGGUGUGGUUGCUGGACACGCUGUCGGCCUUCCUCGAGAAGGCUGGCCUCUUCCUCCUGCGCCGCCACACCGGGCAGAGGCAGGCCAGUGUGGCCAGGAAGAUGUGGCGGAAGUUGGCAGAGACGAGGUUGUACAGGAUGGGGUUGAUGGUGGAGCUGACGUAGAAGAGUGCGUUGGUCACCAUGUAGAAGUAGUGGUAGAAGUCAUAGAGGAACCUGCGGGGAGAGAGAGGCGCUCAGAUCCCAGAGAGAACUCUUGAGGGCCCCAAGGCAGGGUGACAGCCGGGGCCACAGCGGCUGAGGGACGUGGUGGCUCAGACGCUAAUUAAAACACCCCUUGAGAAUGGUUGUUUGGGGACAUUUCAUAACAAGCUCCAGGGUCUGGCUUCUCCUGAGCAGCUGCAAGUUCUCGUCGUGCUCCCGCCCAGCCUGGGCUGCUGCUGCUUUUUUUUUUUUUUUGAGACGGAGUCUCGCUCUGUCUCCCAGGCUGGAGUACAGUGGCGCGAUCUCGGCUCACUGCAAGCUCCACCUCCCGGGUUCACACCAUUCUCCUGCCUCAGCCUCCCGAGUAGCUGGGACUACAGGGACCCCCCCACCACGCCCGGCUAAUUUUUUGUAUUUUUGGUAGAGACGGGGUUUCACCGUGUUAGCCAGGAUGGUCUCGAUCUCCUGACCUCGUGAUCCACCCACCUCAGCCUCCCAAAGUGCUGGGAUUACAGGCGUGAGCCACCGUGUCCCACCCAGCCUGGGCUUCUUUAGGUGGAGCGUGGGCUCUGCUUGUCCAUCCCUGCCUCUCCUUGCAGCUGCCUGCAUUGCCCUUCGCAGCUCUGUGCAUCCAAGGGUCCAGGGCUUGGCUGGUCCCGGCCUAACCAAACAGCCAGGGCAGUAACCCCCUCCACACCUCCCCAGCAGCCACACACCUUGCCCUCAGCUUGUUGCCUCCCCCCACAGUGAUCUCACUCCCUCACCAGGCAGCUCAAUUACUACCAGUCAGCCCUGAGUUUCAGAAGCUUUUGCAGGGGCCACACUCUGUUCCCCGUGCCUUCUCCUCCUCAUUGGUCGUAGGUGCGCCCUCCCUGGUGGUUGUCACUGGAAGGAACCUUUUAUUCUGGGAUCUGGCAGCCCCACUGCACAGAAAAGGGUUCACAAGUGGGCCCCAAGCUGCCAUCUCAGGAUGGCCAGCUGGCAAGGCUGGCCUCUGGCUGGUGCCUGGGGCCUUGGAUUUUGGGAAGGCUCUGCCAUUUUUGGGUGAGAAGGGCUCCCUGCCCCUGAACUGUUGGUGCAAACAGUAGGGGUUUUGCCAGGCAGUGGGUGCCCCUGUGAUCGGCCCCCAUAUCGUCCUGUGAGGCUCCUCUGGGAGGGGGCCCUGGAAGCUGCAUCUGGUCUUCCGCUGACCCCACUCCAUGUGUCUUUUCCCUUUGCUGACUUUGCUGUAUAAGCAAAGCUUUGUCAGUAUUGGUGCUCUUGCUGCGAUAAGUCACAGCCCUGAGUAUAACUCCAGGCUGAGCCCUGUGGGUCCAACCUGGGUGGCCUUGGGGCUCUGACAGCUGCCAUAUGAGGAGGUGACACCCCCACCAUGUCCCCAGCAGAGCCAGGGAUGUCUCUCUUUCACCUUCGGGAAACUGCCUGGGCCAUCUCUCUUAGGACCAACUUUCUUUCUCUGCACCAGUCUGGCCUGAAUAGCCCCUGCCUUGAACCUGUCCCUCCAUGGCCUUCUCCCGGCCCCAGUCACAGCACAACCCUGCCCAGGGGGUCGCCGGGGGACUCACCACACCCCUGCCCUGAGUGGAUCCCCUCAGCAGUGCCUGCCACACCCACCAUCUGUUUUGGGAGCACUUACUUGUCCAGCACCCAACUUCCUGGUUCCCGGUACUCACGGAGUCCACUGCUCAUCCGAGAUGUAGCAGAACAUGAGGCGCCGCACGUGGUAGGGCAGCCAGCAGACCACAAAGGCGAUGACCACUGCACCUGAGGCACAGAGACGUGGGCUCAGAGACCCACUGCACCUGAGGCACAGAGGCGUGGGCUCAGAGACCCACUGCACCUGAGGCACACAGAUGUGGGCUCAGAGACCCACUGCACCUGAGGCACAGAGACGUGGGCUCAGAGACCCACUGCACCUGAGGCACAGAGACAUGGGCUCAGAGACCCACUGCACCUGAGGCACAGAGACGUGGGCUCAGAGACAGGACAUGGGCUCAGAGACCCACUGCACCUGAGGCACAGAGACGUGGGCUCAGAGACCCACUGCACCUGAGGCACAGAGGCGUGGGCUCAGAGACCCACUGCACCUGAGGCACAGAGGCGUGGGCUCAGUGGGGGAGACAUGGGCUCAGAGACCAGACACAAGCUCAGAGAGGGAGAGACGUGGGCUUGGGGAGGGAGCAUAAGCUCAGAGACAGGACACAGGCUCAGAGACAGGACACAGGCUCAGAGAGGGAGAGACAUGGGCUGAGGGAGGUAGACACUGGCUCAGAGACAUGGGCUUAGAGACACAGAGAUAUGGCCUCAGAGAAGGAGACACGUGGUCUGAGGGAGAUGCAGGGAGACAUCCCAUGUUCAUGGAUUGGAAGAUUUAAUAUUGUUAAGGUGUCAGUACUACCCAAAGCACUCUACAGAUUCAAUGCAAUCCGUAUCAAAUUUCAAGAAUGCUUUUGGCAGAAAUAGAAAAAUCUGUGCUAAAAUUCAUAUGAAAUCUCAAAGGAUCCCGGACAGCCAAAACAAUCUUGUAAGAAAAUAAAGUUGGAGGUCUUACACUUCUUGAUUUCAAAACUUACUACAAAGUUACAGUGUGGUGCUGGCAUAAAGAUAGACACGUAGACCAAGGGAAUAGACUAGAAAUCUCAGAAACGAACCCUUACCUUUAUGGUCAAGUGAUCUUCACCAAGACCAUUCAGUGGGGAAAGGACAGUCUAUUCAACAAAGGGUGUUAGGAAAACGGGACAUCCACUUGUAUGAAGGUGGAUCCUCCCCUCACACCAUAUACAAAAAUGGACUUGAAGUGGAUUAAAGACCUGAACAUAAGAACUAAAACCAUAAAACUCCUAGGAGAAAACAUAAUUACUUUACAACAUUGAUUUUGGCAAUGAUUUCUUGGGUAUGACACCAAAAGCACAGGCCACAAAAGAAAAAAGUAGAUAAAUUGAACAACAUAAACACUGAAUUUCUGUGUAUCAAAGGAUGCCAUCAGGAGAGUGGAAGUCAGCUCACAAAAAAGGAGAAAAUAUUUGCAAAUCACAUCUGAUAAUGAGUUAACCUUGAGAGUAUAACUCCUAAAACUCAACAUGAAAACAAACAAUCCAAUUCACAAAUGGGCAAAGGACUCAGACAUUUCUCCAAAGAAGAUACAAAUGGUCAACAAGCACAUGAAAGAUGUUAUUAAUCAUUAAUCUUAAAUCACUGGAGAAAUGCAAAUCAAAACCACAACGAGAUGCCACCUCAAAUCUAUUAGGAUGGCUACUAUUAAAACAACAGGCACACACUGGGACCAGGACACACCUUGGAUGUUGGCAAGCCAGCCGUCCUGAGCUGGGGCUGGUCCUCAGGGUUCCGAUAGGAUGGGCGUUGCCCUGCUGUGGGCUUCGCCAGCCCUGAGAGCUCCGUGUCCAAAGCCCUGGCUGGUUCCCAUGAGCAGGGAAGGCUGAGCCCAGAGCCAGGCUCUCUUAGGGUAAUGUGCUUGGCUAUGGGCCUCUCCUGUGACUGGCCACACCCUCAAACAAGCCCUGAAAAUGGGCCAGCACCAGGGAGGAGCUCAAGCCAAAUGCUUCAGGCAAACCAAACUGAAGACCUGGGUCUCAGGCAUGAAAGGGCUUCAUUCUCUCCAGUUCCCAUCACACUCUCCAAGCCCUGUGUUGUUGGCAGCGUCUGCCCUGCCCCUGCCCCGCCUUCUUGCCAAGCACCUCCCACCACAGGGCCUUUGCUCCAGCCAUCCCCUCGCCUGCAGCUCUGUUGCCCAGAUGGGCUCCUGGUCCUUGGGACUUGCAGGAUGCCACCUGCUCUGAGAGCCCCUCCCAGCUGCCAGAUGUAGUCAGGGGUGGUGGUGGUGGUAUUUUUUUCUUCAUGCUCAUCACUGGCUGAAGGUGCCUGGUGCCUGUGUUUGUGUCCUUGGUGGAGCCCCUGUUCCCCCAGAGUGCAGGGAUGCCCCUGCCUCUGCUGCCUCCAUGCCUGUGAGCAAGAAUAGGCGAGACCCAGGGUGGGCACUCAGCCAACUGCUGAGCAAAUGAAUAAGUGAGCACGUGAGCAAGUGGACAGAUGGACAGAGAGAUGGAUAGAUGGAGGGAGGGAGGAAUGGAACAAGGGAGGGAAGGAGGGAUGGAAGGAGGG